UCCCAGUGUCUCCUCGUCAGUUCCUUCAUG
rnacentral:piRNA from 1 species